AGGAUGCCAGAGAAGUGGUCUCAGUGGAACUUUUUCUUCUUCAGAUUUUUAUUCACAAAAACAAAAGACAUAUAAAAGCACAUUAAUAAGGAAGCCUUUUGAUGGAGAAGUGAGGCCAGGAGCAUCGUGGGCUACUUCUCCAGAAGGUUUCGGGUGGCAAGAUUCAACAAUACUUCAUGUCAGCUAACCAUAGCAGAAGAGAAAGACAAGCCUAUAUUCCUGCUGUAAAGUUGUACCCACAAAAGUGUAUCUGUCAGUGCGUGCCUCCUGUGGAGCACAUCACACCAGCCAGGUUAAGUGGGAUUCAAGGGCCCUCCAGGAAGGACGGCCUAGAUUUUGAUUCAACACUGACUGAGGAAGCAUCUGCAUAAAUGAGUUCUGGAGGCUGGGAAGUCCAAGAUGAAAGUGCUGGCAGAUUGGUGUCUGAUGGCUGAGUGUGCAAUAAUCAUGGGAGCACUCACAUGUUUCAGGCCACUGCAGCUGGGUAAACAUCAUGUAGAGCCAUUAUUGCAGGCAGCGGGAAUGGACCAUCUACAGGAAAUGGGUACCUGAGAGAACAGACAUUAGGUGAAUUUAUGUUCUCGUAUUCAGUAAUCACCACUUUUCAUAUGUUACUCUUAGCCAGGUGUAUUUGUUAUUUUUGAAAAUGAUUGUCUUCCUACUCUCACCCCCACACAUGUUUUAUUCUCAACACUUUUUGUUUUUGUUUUAAAUCCAUUCCUUUUACCUAUACAACUCACUCGCUGAUUCUUCAGAGUUCUUUCAUUAUAUUUUGUUUUGUCUUCUUAUUUCCUUAAACUGCUGGGCUGAUUUUAUUUUUUAGAACUGCCUAUUUUGGUGCCUCUUUCCCUAACUCCUAACCUUCUUAACCUCCUGGUAUUACUGGCAAAACUACCAGCAUCAGGGCAUUUAUCACGGGAAGAUGGAGUGAAGGGGGCUGCAUCGCCAUUCCUCACAAUGCAUGAGCUUUUAGUAGCAAGCCACAUUCAUACAGAAAUGAGUACGGACAGUGACAUCGAGAUCACGCUUGUGAAUUGUCACACCUGUGUUCUUGGCCAUCCAAAAACCUCCACCCAACACUGCAGGUAAUUUGAUCAUUGACUGUUCAGACAUUAGUUACGAAGACAAC